rnacentral:rRNA from 1 species
CAGUAGCCACGGGAAUACAGAGGGUGCAAGCGUUGUUCGGAAUUAUUGGGCGUAAAGCGCGUGUAGGCGGCGUGACAAGUCGGGUGUGAAAGCCCUCAGCUCAACUGAGGAAGUGCGCCCGAAACUGUCGUGCUUGAGUGCCGGAGAGGGUGGCGGAAUUCCCCAAGUAGAGGUGAAAUUCGUAGAUAUGGGGAGGAACACCGGUGGCGAAGGCGGCCACCUGGACGGUAACUGACGCUGAGACGCGAAAGCGUGGGGAGCAAACAGGAUUAGAUACCCCAGUAGUCCCUGUCUCUUAUAC